rnacentral:rRNA from 1 species
GACGAACGCUGGCGGCGUGCUUAACACAUGCAAGUCGAACGGAAAGGCCCUGCUUUUGUGGGGUGCUCGAGUGGCGAACGGGUGAGUAACACGUGAGUAACCUGCCCUUGACUUUGGGAUAACUUCAGGAAACUGGGGCUAAUACCGGAUAGGAGCUCCUGCUGCAUGGUGGGGGUUGGAAAGUUUCGGCGGUUGGGGAUGGACUCGCGGCUUAUCAGCUUGUUGGUGGGGUAGUGGCUUACCAAGGCUUUGACGGGUAGCCGGCCUGAGAGGGUGACCGGCCACAUUGGGACUGAGAUACGGCCCAGAAUCCGACGGGAGGCAGCAGUGGGGAAUAUUGCACAAUGGGCGGAAGGCUGAUGCAGCAACGCCGCGUGCGGGAUGACGGCCUUCGGGUUGUAAACCGCUUUCGCCUGUGACGAAGCGUGAGUGACGGUAAUGGGUAAAGAAGCACCGGCUAACUACGUG